rnacentral:rRNA from 1 species
AUUGAACGCUGGCGACAGGCCUAACACAUGCAAGUCGAGCGAGCGGCGGACGGGUGAGUACUGUAUGGGGACUGCCCGAUCGCGGGGGAUCACUAAUGGCAACGGUAGAUAAACCCGUACCCUAUCGGCUUACCCAAAUGGGAUUGGCUAGUAGGUGGGGUAAUGGCUAACCUAGGCGACGAUCCCUAGCUGGUCUGAGAGGAUGAUGAGCCACACUGGGACGGAGACACGGCCCAGACUCCUACGGAGGCAGGAGUGGGGAAUAGUGCACAAUGGGCGCAAGCCUGAUGCAGCCAUGCCGCGUGUAUGAAGAAGGCCCUAUGGUUGUAAAGGACUUUCAUUUGUGAGGCUUUACCGACAGAAGAAGCACCGGCUAACUCCGUGCCAGCAGCCGCGGUAAUAC